rnacentral:rRNA from 1 species
GACGAACGCUGGCGGCGUGCUUAACACAUGCAAGUCGAACGGUGAUGCUCCAGCUUGCUGGAGUGGAUCAGUGGCGAACGGGUGAGUAACACGUGAGCAACCUGCCCCAGACUCUGGAAUAAGCGCUGGAAACGGCGUCUAAUACUGGAUACGAAACUGGCCCGCAUGGGCAUGGUUUGGAAAGUUUUGCGGGUUGGGAUGGGCUGGCGGCCUAUCAGCUUGUUGGUGAGGUAAUGGCUCACCAAGGCAGCGACGGGUAGCCGGCCUGAGAGGGCGACCGGCCACACUGGGACUGAGACACGGCCCAGACUCCUACGGGAGGCAGCAGUGGGGAAUAUUGCACAAUGGGCGAAAGCCUGAUGCAGCGACGCCGCGUGAGGGAUGACGGCCUUCGGGUUGUAAACCUCUUUCAGCAGGGAAGAAGCGAAAGUGACGGUACCUGCAGAAGAAGCACCGGCUAACUACGUG